AACAAAAUAACAAAUUUUAUUUACCUGAGUGCAUAACGGGCUGACAACUCGCUCAGAAAUUGACAACCGGAGGCGUCUUGUGUGUACGGAUACGUUCGCAAGGGGGCUUAUUAAUAGCUGUGAGGCUAUCAAUGGAGAGAGCAUUCUCAAUCGAAGUCGGUUGUGCACAUAAAAUGUAUAGUCAAAGGCUUUGCAAACUUGCCGUCAGAAUAAUAGACGGUCUCUGUGAGACAAUAAGCCCAUAAGCUGUGAGCUGGUGCUUGCAAGCCAAUGUGGGUAAUACCAAAACAAUCUGAUAAUCACGUUGAAAUAAGGCAAGAAGCAAGAAAGAGUAGCAUAAAUCGUGAAACAAAAUUUUGCUGAAAGUCAUGUGAAAUUUGCGGGCAUUAAUCUCGCAUAGGAUACAAACGGGUAAGAAGCUUGUGGGUCGCUCCUGCAAGCUCAGCCUUAUCCGCCUAGUGGCUGAAUAUGAUUAGAAUUUUAUGUGUAAAGCGAAAGCUUGAAUAGAAUUUGUUGUUUUG
rnacentral:ncRNA from 1 species